ensembl:lncRNA
UAAGAAGGAAGAUUCUCAUCUGCUUGUUUCUGAAUCCCCAGUGCUGAUGACAAGCAAUAUGUGCUUAUUAUGUGUUUAUUAAUCAGGAGAUGGAAAAUCAAGGGAAGAGAGAAGGCGGGUAGAGCAGAUAGUCGAAUCAACAUUGAUCUGUACAGGGACACACUCUGACUCCAAAGGAACAAAGCUUUUAAUUUCCCGGCUGGAAUGUGCUGUUCUCAGACUUGUUUCAUGUGUGAGUCAGAAGACUGAGAAGUACAACACCUUCUGUCAUCUUCGGAGCGUGCUGUAGCUUGUCAGGCACUAUUGUACCAUUUCAUUUGAGUCUCGCAGUAUGCCUGUCGGUAGUAGGUAGUAUAUGCAUUCUCCUAUUUUACUGAUGAAGAAACUGAGGCUAAAACAAUAAUAGCUGUCACUGAUUUCCUGCUAGAUGCCAGGCACUGUUCUAAGUACUUUGCAUGUUUUGAUUUUUAAAAAUACCAACCACAACUCUUAGAGGUAGGUCUAUCUUCACCCCUAUUUUAUAGUUGAGGAAACUGAACACAAUAAGGUCUUAUUAACAGCCUGAGGCAUUCAUUCA